ensembl:snRNA U1 U1 spliceosomal RNA
ACAGUCCCUGGAAGGGGAGGUACCGUGAUCAUGAAGGUGGUUUUCCUGGGGCAAGGCUUAGCCAUUGUCCUUUAGAUGUGCUGACCCCUGCAGCUUCCCCAAAUGUAGGGACUUCAUAAUUUGUGAUAGUGGACGAUCAUGUUCACACUCUCAUCUU